UUUAAUUACCAUUCAUAGAAAGCAGGUGAUUGCCAAUCAGUUUUCGAUAUUUCAAGCAAAAAUUUUCUCUACUUGAAAUUUUGGAUAAAGUUAUGCGAGUCUUGUUGAAGUGGAUGUUUCCAAAUGCAUCUCAGGAUUUUUUAGGUUCACACAAUGCAGAUGAUCAUUUCUGAGAACUGGUGAAGUUUGAUUUUAUAGAAAAGUGAUUAAUUGCAGAUAGUCUUGAUGUGUUGGCAUGCCACCAAAGCUCGGUUGCUACCAGUACAGAAACCGCAUGCAUGUUGGCCUAAUUGAUGUGAAAUAAACAUGUUACAGAAGAUGUUAAACAACAGCGAAAAAUGCAGACACACACCUUCUUUAAACAGAGGAAUGACAGGUGGAUACGGGACAUUUUAUCUGCUGAUGGUCCUCUGUUAAUUACAACAUAAGUUGCAAUUUUAUUAUUUAUGUCACCAUCAUCUAUGUCAUCACGACCUGUGUCAAAAGGCAAGAUCAAAAAAAAUGUUUUAAAAAUUGCAACCUGAAUUCUGCAUCUCACUUUUCCUUGGCUGGCAGAAAUUUUUUGUUUUAAAUUUUCUUUAGUUGCAAUAUUUUCCAACUGGCAUUUAGUAUCAUUGUUUAACAUUGCUGUUAAGGGGCCAAACCACUCGUUUUCCAGCUGCGAACCUUAAAAUGAUGAUUUCCUAUAAAUCCCCUGGGUUGCUCAUCGCAAUGUCUCGUUUAAACAUUACCUAUCACAUGUAGGGGAGACCGGGGAUGGUUCGGACGUUUUUUUGAAAAUUGCUAAUAAUUUUUUUUGUAUGCGUCACAUGAAUUUAAAUGUUAGUUUGUUGUAAAGGGUGAUCCUUUGCCGAAAAAGGGUAGGAGAGUCGCUUGUCAAAGCAAACUAGAAAUGCAUUUAAAAAGUCAAAUUCCUAAGGCUCUCAAGUGUCCGAUGUUGCCCCGGCGUACAUGACCGGGGUCACCUCGAACAGUAUACGUUUUUUUGUUUUAUUCAACACCGCUGGUAAAAACAACAAACGAAAUAACGAAAUAAUAACGAAUCAUCUAAUAUACAAAUCGACUAGGCUAUAGCUGAUACUUUAGCGUACAUUAAAACAAGAAAGGUUGAUAGGGAAUCUUAGGGCACUCAUUUGCCUUUUGGAUCCCCCGACUGAUACGGGAUUUGGCAGAACCAAGGCAAUCCGGUUACUUUCAACGGCGUGGAUGUCUUCUACUAGCGGCUCAACAAAUGAAUUCACUGUUUUGGGGUUCUUUCUGUAAAAUUUUAUGUCGAGAUCUUUUUCAUUUUCCUCUUCAUCGCAGUCUUCAAAGUCAACCACUUUACCUACAUAAAAGACUGAUUUCUUGCCAUGCGCAUCAUAUUUUACAAGUACGAAGUCUCCCACAUCAGCUUUUUCUUUUAGUGUGGGUGUGGAAAUAUCUUCCUCACUACACACGUCAUCCGUUGAUAGAGAUUUUUUAAGGGUGAAAGAUUCAUCACUGGUAGAAAUUUUCUCCAAAAGUUUUCGUUUUGCUCGCCGCGAUGUUUUCUUGUUUAGAACCGUGCCUUUUUUUAUUGCCUUUGUUUUUCCUUCUCUUCUAAUAGAUUUUUUUCAGGCGUGUCGGUAGCGAUAAAUGAUCGGCCU